rnacentral:lncRNA from 1 species
CUCCACAAAUGCUAAUUAUUCGACAAACACAUAACUACUUAUAUAACAAAAAUAAAGCCUGUGUUUAUUCUGACAGUGAUGGGCUAACGUUCUCAUUUUAGUCCCAGUGUGACAGCUGCUUUAGCAAACGCGUUUCUGAUUGGUCCACAUUUGACAUCCACACUCACGGACCAAUCAGAUCGCCGGAACUUCGUUAGUGCAUUAAGGAAGGAAAAAAAACAUACACAGCUGUCCACAAUCUGCACAAGAGGAAUAUAUCAAAACUCUUUUAAGGGCACAGCUGCAAACACAGGAGGAAAAGCCUUCGUGUUGAUCCGUCAAACAAAGCACCGCAUUUAUUCCGCACUGACUGCUACAAUGGUGUGACAACUGUGAACGCCCCUUUGCCAGACUCCGUCACUGAAGUGAAUACAGUCUCUGGAAAACAUGGAGGAAUUUUCUCACUCUUACAUAUCGGAAUAUGGAGACAUUGAGGAUAUAGAGGAGGAGGAGGAAGAAGAGGAG